CCUACGGGAGGCAGCAGUGGGGAAUAUUGGACAAUGGGGGCAACCCUGAUCCAGCCAUGCCGCGUGUGUGAAGAAGGCCCUCGGGUUGUAAAGCACUUUCAGUGAGGAAGAACGCCUGGUGGUUAAUACCCAUCAGGAAAGACAUCACUCACAGAAGAAGCACCGGCUAACUCCGUGCCAGCAGCCGCGGUAAUACGGAGGGUGCGAGCGUUAAUCGGAAUUACUGGGCGUAAAGCGCGCGUAGGUGGCUUAAUAAGCCGGUUGUGAAAGCCCCGGGCUCAACCUGGGAACGGCAUCCGGAACUGUCAAGCUAGAGUGCAGGAGAGGAAGGUAGAAUUCCCGGUGUAGCGGUGAAAUGCGUAGAGAUCGGGAGGAAUACCAGUGGCGAAGGCGGCCUUCUGGACUGACACUGACACUGAGGUGCGAAAGCGUGGGUAGCAAACAGGAUUAGAUACCCUAGUAGUC
rnacentral:rRNA from 1 species